rnacentral:rRNA from 1 species
UUAUAUGAGAGUUUGAUCCUGGCUCAGGAUGAACGCCGGCGGUGUGCCUAAUACAUGCAAGUCGAACGCGUUGGCCCAACUGAUUGACGAUGCUUGCAUCUGAUUGACGUUGGUUUACCAACGAGUGGCGGACGGGUGAGUAACACGUAGGCAACCUGCCCAGAAGCGGGGGACAACAUUUGGAAACAAGUGCUAAUACCGCAUAACAACAUUAACCGCCUGGUUAAUGUUUAAAAGAUGGCUUCGGCUAUCACUUCUGGAUGGGCCUGCGGCGCAUUAGCUUGUUGGUAAGGUAACGGCUUACCAAGGCAAUGAUGCGUAGCCGAGUUGAGAGACUGAUCGGCCACAAUGGAACUGAGACACGGUCCAUACUCCUACGGGAGGCAGCAGUAGAGAAUCUUCCACAAUGGGCGCAAGCCUGAUGGAGCAACACCGCGUGAGUGAAGAAGGGUUUCGGCUCGUAAAACUCUGUUGUUGAAGAAGAACGUGCGUGAGAGUAACUGUUCACGCAGUGACGGUAUUCAACCAGAAAGUCACGGCUAACUACGUGCCAGCAGCCGCGGUAAUACGUAGGUGGCAAGCGUUAUCCGGAUUUAUUGGGCGUAAAGCGAGCGCAGGCGGUU